UACGGGGGGAGCAAGCGUUGUUCGGAUUUACUGGGCGUAAAGGGCGCGUAGGCGGCCUCCGCAAGUCGACUGUGAAAUCUCCGGGCUUAACCCGGAAAGGUCAGCCGAAACUGCGGGGCUAGAGUGCAGAAGGGGCAACUGGAAUUCUCGGUGUAGCGGUGAAAUGCGUAGAUAUCGAGAGGAACACCUGCGGCGAAGGCGGGUUGCUGGGCUGACACUGACGCUGAGGCGCGAAAGCUAGGGGAGCGAACGGG
rnacentral:rRNA from 1 species